rnacentral:rRNA from 1 species
CGGAGGGUGCAAGCGUUAAUCGGAUUGAUUGGGCGUAAAGGGCGCGUAGGUGGUUUACUGAGUGAGUUGUGAAAUCCAUGGGCUUAACCUGUGGCUGUCAACUCAGACGGGUGGACUGGAGUAUAGUAGAGGGUCGUGGAAUUUCCGGUGUAGCGGUGAAAUGCGUAGAGAUCGGAAGGAACACCAAUGGCGAAGGCAACGACCUGGGCUGAAACUGACACUGAGGCGCGAAAGCGUGGGGAGCAAACAGGAUUAGAUACCCUGGUAGUCCACGCCGUAAACGAUGUCAACAAGCUGUUUGUGUAUUUAAGAUACAUGAGUGGCGCAGCUAACGCGAUAAGUUGACCGCCUGGGGAGUACGGUCGCAAGAUUA